AAUAUUUUACCUCAACUAUCUCAUUGAGACACCAUCACGUCUUUCUCAUCGCUCACGAUUAGCACCUAAGCCAGCACACUUGACGCCAUAAUACUCUUGCACAAACAAUUUUUGACCAUACCCAAAAGAUCAAGCUUAGGGCUGUGAUACCACUUUGUUGGAUAAUAGUGGAAGCGUAAAUACUGAAUAACUAAUUUUGGAUAUGGAGAUAUAAUACAUGAAUAACACACAAUGGGAGAUGUACAGCCCAAAGACAUGUACAGAGCUCCUAGAGAGAGAUAUGGAGGAGACUCUCAAAAUACCUGAUAAAACAAUUCACUCUUACGAUACUUCUACAAAAUACUUCUCUACACCCACUACUACAAUUCUCCCCAAUAGCACCUUUCUUUUGGCCACCACAAAAUCAUAAGUGGGAAUGAAGAAUAGUCUUCCACCGUUUUUUCGGAUCAGUGACUCAUUUGGGCAUCACACUGAUCAUCAGUGGGUUUUGACAAAUUGCCUCCAACAUCAGUGGCCCAACCCAUCAAAUAUAAUUUAAUAUUCAUUAUUUAUUAAUUCGAUCUUAUUAUUUAUCGGAUUUUUUCCCUAUAAUGCGUACUAUGCUCUCUCAGUCUCUCUCCUCUCUCUCUCAUAACUGAGUUAAAGGUCACUCUUGACCAAAAAAUAAACUCAGUUCACUCACAAGAUCUCUUCCAUCUUCCACCGCUAUCUCUUUUCCAAUUUGGAACCGACGAAAGAGAUAUGAGAAUCGAUCCAAUCUUGACUAAUCGCCGAAGCCAUGUACUGGCGGUUAGACCGAUACCACUGUUCAUCGGCGAUCUGAAUACAUAGAUCCGGUCCGAUGGAUUGCCUCGGGGAGAGGAGAAGAAAGAGUGGAAGAUGGCUACAACAGACGAGGUCGCAGGAUCGGCUCCAAAGAUAGUGUGGAACGAAGCGAAGCAGAGGUUCGAGUCAGAGAACCAGAAAGCCUACCUAGACUACGUUCUUAGAGAAAAGGGGAAAGUGAUGGACUUGGUUCACACCUAUGUCCCAUCUUCCAAGAGAGGCUUGGGCUUGGCCUCCCAUCUCUGCGUUGCCGCCUUCAACCACGCCAAAGCCAACUCCAUGUCCGUCAUCCCCACCUGUUCUUACGUCUCUGAAGGGUAUAGAAGAAGAAUCGAAGCUGGCAAGAAAAUCAGCAACAUACCUAUUGACAUGAUCUAUACAUCUGGACUGAUUCAUGCACAGAUGACUGCCAUGCCUGCCAGGACAUAGCACCUUUGUAAGAAGGGGUUGAUGUUAAAUGUGAAGAGAUAAUUGAAGCAACCUCAACUGGCUCCAGUUCAAUGAUUUCCAAGAUUGUUCAAAUGGUUAGUGAACUUACUUUUACUCAUGACACAAACAAUUGUUUUGAGCAACCUUUCUUUUGUGCAAAAAUACCAAGUCAUUGAGGAUAUUUGUAAACAUGACUGUUGUUAAUACUUGUAAACAUGCGCAGUGCAUUUGCUGUUGCAUUUGUGCUUAAAAUGUGUCUGACAUGGUUAAUAUGAAGCUUAUUUCUAGGCAAGUAAUUGAACACCACCACUUAAAGUAAUGCUUUGUUGUUUUUAUGCAUGCAGAACAUCACUGGCAGAUAUGGUAUGAUUGCAGAAAAGAAUACAUCUACCUUUGUUUUCUUUAAGGUACUAACUUCUACAUUUAUUGAACUUUUCAUUUGUUUGACAGAAAUUAUAUAAAAGUUGCUGGAGGAGAGGUAGCAGAUGCAGCUAUGGGGAGGAACAUGAAGAGAUUUAUGUUUUUUUAUGUUGUAUUUUAUUUGAAGUUGUAUAUGAAUUGUACAAUAUAUUUUAGAAUUAUACAGUACA